UUUUUUGUUUGAAUCGGGUAUUUUCAAGUGAACUCAUUCUCUCUUGGUUAUAUGCAGCCAGCGAGUUUGACGGUGGAAUUCAUUGAUGAUGAGUGAGAUGGCGAAGAUAAGGAUGACAAGCGAAAUAAAUCCAUCGGUAACCAGAA